AGCCCCUCUGUGGGGCUCUCCCUCCUCACAUCAACCCCGCUGCAGAGCCGACCCCCACCUCGCUCCCCUCCAUCCCUUACAUAAGAGACUUCCCACCCCGGCGGGCGCUCCCCACAGCUGUGCUUAACAAGUUGAGAAACAUGGAAGAUUUCCCAGUGCUGCACCAUCAUCUUCCACUUUCAAAACUUCAAGUAUUUCAAGACUUCUCUUUUUAACAUUGCUUUAAGCAACAAAAUAUUGGUCCUGGUCAACUAAUCCUUUUAAGCAGGUUUGUGCAAAACAUUUUUAAUAUUUUUUAUAUUAUUUUGUGGGCCCUUUGAAAAUGGAAGACCAUUUGACGUUGAGUCCAAAUAUUAACAGAGCCUUUUUUUUUAACAUUGCUAGCAGUAAUUAAUUUUAGUGUAGUAAUUCAUUUUUGUUUGUAUUGAAAAUUCAAUCUUAUGUUUUAUCAUAUUCUGUAAUGGUUUAGGCUCA
rnacentral:lncRNA from 1 species